rnacentral:sRNA from 1 species
UGCUAUUCAGGCAAACGAGAUGAUAAAAC